GACGAACGCUGGCGGCGUGCUUAACACAUGCAAGUCGAACGGAAAGGCCCUGCUUGCAGGGUACUCGAGUGGCGAACGGGUGAGUAACACGUGGGUGAUCUGCCCUGCACUUCGGGAUAAGCUUUGGAAACUGGGUCUAAUACCGGAUAGGACCGCUCUCUAGUGUGUGUGGUGGAAAGUUUUUUCGGUGUAGGAUGAGCUCGCGGCCUAUCAGCUUGUUGGUGGGGUAAUGGCCUACCAAGGCGGCGACGGCUAGCCGGCCUGAGAGGGUGUACGGCCACAUUGGAACUGAGAUACGGCCCAGACUCCUACGGGAGGCAGCAGUGGGGAAUAGUGCACAAUGGGCGCAAGCCUGAUGCAGCGACGCCGCGUGGGGGAUGAAGGCCUUAGGGUUGUAAACUCCUAUCGCUAGGGACGAAGCUUUGUUGUGACGGUACCUAGAGAAGAAGCACCGGCUAACUACGUG
rnacentral:rRNA from 1 species